GUGUGUGUCCGCUGUCGGCUGCUUGUGCGCCUUCAUCUACCCCAUACUGAAAGAGCUGCGGGCAGGGAGAGUGAGAGGAGAGGACGGGACUGAAGAGAGAAUCCUGGGUUUCUGGAGCAUCCUUGUGCUGUCAGUAUAGUCGUUGGAUGCAUCUGCUGCGUCUUCUCGUGGACUCUCACCUACCUGGACUCAUACCAGCCGGGCAAGGGGUUCCUGUCACCGCUGUCACUGGCCCACCUCAGAGAUGAACCUGGCCAUCGAUUUCAAGUGGGUUAUGGUGCUGUGGUCCUCAACGGCCUCAUGGCCAUGCUCACCGUCUUCUGGAUCCUCACCUGACACACACACACACACACACAUACUGUUUUUUUGGUUUGUGUUUCUGUUAGUCUGCAGGAUUACACAAAACUACUGGACUCAUUAAAACAACAUUUUGAAAAAAGGAUGCAGUAUGGGUCAGG